AAAGGUUUGGUCCUGGCCUUAUAAUUAAUUGGAGGUAAGAUUACACAUGCAAACAUCCAUAAACCGGUGUAGAAUCCCUUAAAGGACUAAUAAGAUUUAAGGAGAGGGUAUCAAGUACAUAAAAUAGCUAAAGACACCUUGCCCAGCCACACCCCCACGGGACUCAGCAGUGAUAAAUAUUAAGCAAUAAACGAAAGUUUGACUAAGCUAUACCUCUUAGGGUUGGUAAAUUUCGUGCCAGCCACCGCGGUCAUACGAUUAACCCUAAUUAAUUAUUCUCGGCGUAAAACGUGUUAAUUGAACAUACAUUAAUAGAGUUAAAAUUCAACUAAUAUGUAAAAAUUCAUUGUUAGAACUUAAAUACAACAACGAAAGUAACUCUAAAUACUUCAUAAAACACGAUAGCUAAGAUCCAAACUGGGAUUAGAUACCCCACUAUGCUUAGCCCUAAACUAUAAUAAUUGUUUAACAAAAUUAUUUGCCAGAGAACUACUAGCCACAGCUUAAAACUCAAAGGACUUGGCGGUACUUUAUAUCCAUCUAGAGGAGCCUGUUCUAUAAUCGAUACACCCCGCUUUACCUCACCAUCCCUUGCUAAUUCAGCCUAUAUACCGCCAUCUUCAGCAAACCCUUAAAAAGGAAUAAGAGUAAGCAAGAGAAUAAUCAUAAAAACGUUAGGUCAAGGUGUAGCCAAUGGGAUGGAAAGCAAUGGGCUACAUUUUCUAUUUAAGAGCAUCACGACACCCUUUAUGAAACUAAAGGGCAAAGGAGGAUUUAGUAGUAAAUUAAGAGUAGAGAGCUUAAUUGAAUAGAGCAAUGAAGUACGUACACACCGCCCGUCACCCUCCUCAAGUUAAAUUCACUUAAUUAUACAUAAUAACAAGUAAUAAAAUUUAUUAGAGGAGAUAAGUCGUAACAAGGUAAGCAUACUGGAAAGUGUGCUUGGAAUAAUAU
rnacentral:ncRNA from 1 species